rnacentral:lncRNA from 1 species
CUGCCCCUCCCUGCACCCCAGAUGUCCACCCUACCUGUUCCCUGACUUCCUCCAUCCUGUCCAGCAGGAUGGGCUGGACAGUGGGACAGCCUGUGUGCACAUUUUGUGGCAAGUAGGAGUGACACAUCAUCCCUGGGAGGCACCAUGGUUCCUGCCAAACCCAACCCCAGAACUCUGUCCCUGAGGUGGUUUUACCAAAACCCAAAACCCAGAAUUGUGCUUGUGGCUCAGGGGUCAGCACCUGCUAGUACCAGGACACUACUGGGAGGCUGGGACCUGACCGAAGCCCAUGGUGUCUGUGGCCUGAGGACAGGGUGUGUUGGGGCCAUAAGUCUCGGCCACCAAUGGCCAUUGGGUCCUAGGGCCUCAGCCCCAGUGUUUGCCCUUCCCUGGCUCCUUCUGGUUCAGUCCCAUUAGGGCCCUGGAGCCCAAGACCCAGCACCCAAGGUCCCCUCCAGGAAUAUUGGCGGCUUGGCUUCCUUUAUCAUGUUUCAUCUGAGAGCAAAAAUGUCAGAUCGGAUGCACAGAAAAAUGGCCCAAGUUGUUUAAUAACUAGAAGAAAUAUAGGAGCAGCAAGAGGGUAAUGUGGAGAGGGGAGGGCCUCCAUGACCGGUGUCUGCAGAGCCAGGGGUACAGGCACCCAGUGUUGUGGCCUGGCACCACCGGCCUCUCAGAGCGUGGGUGGCCCACUGUCUUUACCCAGAGGACAGCAGGCCUGAUCACCAGCUUUUCUACCUGUCCCUGUAAGCAUCACAUUGCUAGAAGAAAAUCUCAUGCCAGAGCUUGCACCAUCCCUAGCUUGGGGGUUAGGGGUUGUCUCUUGGUGACCUAAAUGAAAAAAUAGGUCCAGAUCAGAGUUCCUGACGCAGAGCACUCACCCACUCUUUGAAUCGUGGGAGGGGAGGCCUGGUUUUAGGUAAACCUAACCUCUUUGAGGAACCACAGAGCCCAAGACUGGAAACCUUCAGAAUCUUCUGGCCCCCAACCCUCCCUGGGGACCCCUGUGGCCUGUCUCACCAGAGCACUCUUCCGUCUGUAGAUGUCUCAGCUGCUCUACAAGGGAGUCCCAUUUCAGGUAUGGGGCUGGGCAUGGUCACUCCUGCUGGAUGUCUAGAAGGUGGAAACUAAAGACCAAGGAAAAUGCCAGAUACAGCCUUUCCACCCUCAUCCAGAGCAGGACAAACAGGCCCGGUGGUGUCAGGAGCCCAGGUCUCCAGCUGGAGGGAACGUCAACCCUGCAGUGGGAGCAGGGGCCCAUUGCACAUCCUAGGCACAGAUGCUAAUGCAGGCACUGCAGGUAAGCUGGGCUUGGUAUCCUUCCCUGGCUUCAGAAAGAAGCCAACAAGGAGCGUUUUGCAGAAUGAAACCUUUCUUUCCAGAAGCACUGCUGACUGUAAGUGGUUGCCGUUUGUGGCAGUGAGCAUUUUGUCCAUUCUGAGGUUGGAUUGGUUUCUCCUUUUGGCCUUGCCCUGGCCUACAGACCAUAAAGGAGAACAGCAAGAAGCCCCCAGCAAACAUCUACAGAUGGCCCUGGACAUCAGCCACAUUCUGAGGAACAUGUCAUGUUCUGGGAGGGCUAAGGCAUCAAGUAAGGCCUGUGGGGCUGGAGGAUCCCAGGCAAGGUGGGGCAAUCCAGAGCCAUGGGGCCUUCCCAUGGGAAUUGGGAGGUCCCAAGGCAGAGUCAGAGGUUCCACAGGAGGAGUCAGAGAGUCACCAAGGGCUCUCCUGGCCCAGGGAGCAGUCAACACCAUGGACUGAACACUUGCUGGGCUCCAACCCCUGGGCCAGGCUGCCCACGUGGGGCCAGGGGGCAGCUCAGAGUGGGAGGCAGAGAGAGAAGUGUGCUCAGAGGGCACCUGUAUCUGGAUGUAAUGUGGUUCUGAGACUCUGGCUGGGAAGUUCUUCCAGGGUAUCAUAUGUGUUAUGCAGCUACUUCCUCUCCCCAGCCUUACCCUGUAGGAAUUCUAGUGACUAUGUUGCCACCAUCUUGGAGCUCCAUGCCCUCAUAGUGUAAUGGCAUCAGCAGAUCUGCCUGUGCACAGACUUCCUGUACUACCUCACUCCUGAGGGGAGAUGCUUCUGCAGGGCCUGCGACCUGGUGCUCAACUUUAGACACCAUCAUUCUGGAGCGGCACUGCACCCUCACUAGCCAGGGUGUUGACGUCCUCAAGGCCAAGGCCACAUUCAAGACUUUGGACUUCAUUGAUGCACUUGUGCCGAGCAAGAUCCUGGUUGGAGUAAAACAUUCCAUGGGAACUCGGGCUGUGAGAAACGUCCUAACCACCUGACUGCAGAAACAUCCUUAUCACAUCCUGCUGGGCAAAGGCCCAACAGCCUGACUUCAGGAACAUCCUUAUCAUCAUCUACUGAGCAGCAAGCUAUACUGUCCAGAGCCCUCCCUCCCAGCCCCAUGAUUACCCCAGCCUGUAAGUGGCAGUGGGCGCUGACACUAAGCUGGUUUCC